AACGAACGCUGGCGGCGUGGAUAAGGCAUGCAAGUCGAGCGCGAAAGUCCCCUUCGGGGGAUGAGUAGAGCGGCAAACGGGUGAGUAACACGUGAGUAACCUGUCCUUGGGUGGGGGAUAACCCCGGGAAACCGGGGCUAAUACCGCAUGAUGUUGUUCCCACACAAGUGAGAAUAACCGAAAGGGGGGGACCUUCGGGCCUCCCGCCUGAGGAGGGGCUCGCGCCUGAUUAGCUAGUUGGUGGGGUAACGGCUCACCAAGGCGAUGAUCAGUAGCCGGUCUGAGAGGAUGGCUGGCCACACUGGGAUUGAGAUACGGCCCAGACUCCUACGGGAGCAGCAGUCUAGAAGCUUCGGCAAUGGGCGAAAGCCUGACCGAGCGACGCCGCGUGCAGGACGAAGGUCUUCGGAUUGUAAACUGCUUUCGACGGGGAUGAAAGGUAAGAGGGCGAACUACCCCCUUAUUUGACAGUACCCGCAGAAGAAGCCCUGGCCUAACUCCGUGCCAGCAGCCGACGGUAAAAGUGU
rnacentral:rRNA from 1 species